UACGGAGGGGGCAAGCGUUGAUCGGAAUUACUGGGCGUAAAGCGCACGCAGGCGGAUUGGUAAGUCAGAGGUGAAAUCCCCGGGCUCAACCUGGGAACUGCAUCUGAUACUGGCAAGCUUGAGUCUCGUAGAGGGGGGUGGAAUUCCAGGUGUAGCGGUGAAAUGCGUAGAGAUCUGGAGGAACACCGGUGGCGAAGGCGGCCCCCUGGACGGAGACUGACGCUGAGGUGCGAAAGCGUGGGGAGCAAACAGG
rnacentral:rRNA from 1 species